rnacentral:rRNA from 1 species
AUGACAGCGAGGAAUGUUUUAGUGUGCAUGCUUUGUUCAUCCGGAUUGGUGGUGAGUUUUGUGUAUGACAGUGAGGAAUGUUUUAGUGUGCAUGCUUUGUUCGUCCGGAUUUUAGCGGCCACUGUGUCGUCCAGGUUGGAGAGGAUGACGGAGUCGGCAUGGCUGAAGAAGGUGAAGCGGCUGUUGGGGUUAAGUGUUGCGAGUAAUUUUACAGGAGUGAGCUUGCUCAGAAAUCUGCGACCGUUGAAACAUGAAAUACAUGCAAAGAUGGGGAAUAAUCAACAUGAUGCUCUGGUCGAGAGAAGUAGAAAUUAA